GCUGUGCGGCGUGCUUAACACAUGCAAGUCGAACGGAAAGGCCCUGCUUUUGUGGGGUGCUCGAGUGGCGAACGGGUGGGUAACACGUGAGUAACCUGCCCUUGACUUUGGGAUAACUUCAGGAAACUGGGGCUAAUACCGGAUAGGAGCUCCUGCUGCAUGGUGGGGGUUGGAAAGUUUCGGCGGUUGGGGAUGGACUCGCGGCUUAUCAGCUUGUUGGUGGGGUAGUGGCUUACCAAGGCUUUGACGGGUAGCCGGCCUGAGAGGGUGACCGGCCACAUUGGGACUGAGAUACGGCCCAGACUCCUACGGGAGGCAGCAGUGGGGAAUAUUGCACAAUGGGCGGAAGCCUGAUGCAGCAACGCCGCGUGCGGGAUGACGGCCUUCGGGUUGUAAACCGCUUUCGCCUGUGACGAAGCGUGAGUGACGGUAAUGGGUAAAGAAGCACCGGCUAACUACGUGCCAGCAGCCGCGGUGAUACGUAGGGUGCGAGCGUUGUCCGGAUUUAUUGGGCGUAAAGGGCUCGUAGGUGGUUGAUCGCGUCGGAAGUGUAAUCUUGGGGCUUAACCCUGAGCGUGCUUUCGAUACGGGUUGACUUGAGGAAGGUAGGGGAGAAUGGAAUUCCUGGUGGAGCGGUGGAAUGCGCAGAUAUCAGGAGGAACACCAGUGGCGAAGGCGGUUCUCUGGGCCUUUCCUGACGCUGAGGAGCGAAAGCGUGGGGAGCGAACAGGCUUAGAUACCCUGGUAGUCCACGCUGUAAACGGUGGGUACUAGGUGUGGGGUCCAUUCCACGGGUUCCGUGCCGUAGCUAACGCUUUAAGUACCCCGCCUGGGGAGUACGGCCGCAAGGCUAAAACUCAAAGGAAUUGACGGGGCCCCGCACAAGCGGCGGAGCAUGCGGAUUAAUUCGAUGCAACGCGUAGAACCUUACCUGGGUUUGACAUGGAUCGGGAGUGCUCAGAGAUGGGUGUGCCUCUUUUGGGGUCGGUUCACAGGUGGUGCAUGGCUGUCGUCAGCUCGUGUCGUGAGAUGUUGGGUUAAGUCCCGCAACGAGCGCAACCCUUGUUCACUGUUGCCAGCACGUUAUGGUGGGGACUCAGUGGAGACCGCCGGGGUCAACUCGGAGGAAGGUGGGGAUGACGUCAAGUCAUCAUGCCCCUUAUGUCCAGGGCUUCACGCAUGCUACAAUGGCUGGUACAGAGAGUGGCGAGCCUGUGAGGGUGAGCGAAUCUCGGAAAGCCGGUCUCAGUUCGGAUUGGGGUCUGCAACUCGACCUCAUGAAGUCGGAGUCGCUAGUAAUCGCAGAUCAGCAACGCUGCGGUGAAUACGUUCCCGGGGCUUGUACACACCGCCCGUCAAGUCAUGAAAGUUGGUAACACCCGAAGCCGGUGGCCUAACCGAUGUGGGGGAGCCGUCGAAGGUGGGACUGGUGAUUAG
rnacentral:rRNA from 1 species